ensembl:lncRNA
UGUGUGUGUGUCUGGUUUGACUGUGAAGUAAUGCUGUAGUUAGUACUGACUUAGUCAUAGCUUAAUUAGUUAGUUAGUUAGUUAGUUAGUGUGACACCUUGCGAUGUUAUUUCUCUUUGAUGUCAGUCCCGCUCUCUCUCCUUUCUCUUCUUCUAUCUAUCACACGCCUCCGUCAUCUGUCCGUCUGCGUCAUGUGUAUCUCAGGGGGGCGAGGAGGAUCUGUCGUAACACCAAAAAUACAAUUAUAAAAGCACAAAUAAAGAUUAGGCACAAAAUCACAGAAAAACCCUUCCUAUCACUGCUGCACUAGACAACACAGCCAAUGGGGUUCCACAGAAAAACCCUUCCUAUCACUGCUGCACUAGACAACACAGCCAAUGGGGUUCCACUGAAAGGACCUCACUGUUGGAACAGUAGAAUUGAAAUGAGAACACCUUGUUCUAGUUGUUAGAGGAUCACAACGUUAUAUAGCUACCAAGUCCCUGUACUGUUGGGACUUGGUAUAAGGUAUACCACCUUGCUACAUCGUCUAAAGAACAUGUCCCUGUGGUGUAUACCACCUUGCUACAUCGUCUAAAGAACAUGUCCCUGUGGUGUAUACCACCUUGCUACAUCGUCUAAAGAACAUGUCCCUGUGGUGUAUACCACCUUGCUACAUCGUCUAAAGAACAUGUCCCUGUGGUGUAUACCACCUUGCUACAUCGUCUAAAGAACAUGACCCUGUGGUGUAUACCACCUUGCUACAUCGUCUAAAGAACAUGUUGAAUCCGAGAAUUUAAUUUAUAUAAAUAUUAUGACAUAUAUGGUGAUAGAUUUUAGCUAUCCGAGAAAACGUCUGUAAAUGAACACAACAACAACAACAACAACAACAGAAUAUUUGACAACCGCUCAGUCAAAACAUAGGAAACACAAAUACACAGCAGUUAAGACACCUGGACACCUGCUUCUGGUCAAAACUAGUGCACUACAUAGGGAUUAGGGUGCCAGACUGGUCAAAACUAGUGCACUACAUAGGGAUUAGGGUGCCAGACUUGUCAAAACUAGUGCACUACAUAGGGAUUAGGGUGCCAGACUGGUCAAAACUAGUAGUCAUCUCUAUAGGGACCUGUGAGAUCUCUAGUGAUCUCUGUUCUCUUUAUUCCUCCAAGAGGAACUGUUGUUGUGCAUUUAAGAUGCCACUCUAGCCUGAUCCCAGAUCUGUUUCUGAUCUCUGGACAACUCCAGUGAUGUCAUUGUUAUGACAAUUCCAUAGGAGUUGUCAAGAGAACAGAAACAGGCACCCAGGCUAAACUGACUGGCACCCAGGCUAAACUGACUGGCACCCACACCCAGGCUAUCCUGACUGGCACCCAGGCUAAACAGACUGGCACCCAGGCUAAACUGACUGGCACCCAGGCUAAACUGACUGGCACCCAGGCUAAACACACCUUCCACUCUCUCCUUCUCCUUGACUAACUUGUGUGGUGAAUUAUGAUAUGUAUGAAAUUACAAUUGUCUGCACACAUGACAUGUAAAUUACUAUGAAAAGAAAGCGUCUGCUAAAUGUCAUAUAUUAUUGUCUUAGUCAUUGUUUACAAUGAGAUGUUGUAUUUCCAGUUUCCUUCACCAUUUACUGUUCUAAUAAAGUCACAUGACCGUCUUCACCUGGUAUGUCUGUUCUAAUAAAGUCACAUGACCGUCUUCACCUGGUAUGUCUGUUCUAAUAAAGUCACAUGACCGUCUUCACCUGGUAUGUCUGUUCUAAUAAAGUCA